rnacentral:rRNA from 1 species
AUUGAACGCUGGCGGCAUGCUUUACACAUGCAAGUCGAACGGUAACAGGGUGCUUGCACCGCUGACGAGUGGCGAACGGGUGAGUAAUGCGUCGGAACGUGCCGAGUAGUGGGGGAUAACGCAGCGAAAGUUGUGCUAAUACCGCAUACGUACUGAGGUAGAAAGUGGGGGACCUUCGGGCCUCACGCUAUUCGAGCGGCCGACGGCUGAUUAGCUAGUAGGUGAGGUAAAGGCUCACCUAGGCGACGAUCAGUAGCGGGUCUGAGAGGAUGAUCGGCCACACUGGGACUGAGGCACGGGCCAGACUCCCACGGGAGGCAGCAGUGGGGAAUUUUGGACAAUGGGCGAAAGCAUGAUCCAGCCAUGCCGCGUGUCUGAAGAAGGCCUUCGGGUUGUAAAGGACUUUUGUCGGGGAGGAAAUCCCCAGCGUUAAUACCGCUGGGGGAUGACAGUACCUGAAGAAUAAGCACCGGCUAACUACGUGCCAGCAGCCGCGGUAA